ACGGGUGAGUAACGCGUGGGAAUCUACCGUACCCUACGGAAUAGCUCUGGGAAACUGGAAGUAAUACCGUAUACGCCCUUCGGGGGAAAGAUUUAUCGGGGUAUGAUGAGCCCGCGUUGGAUUAGCUAGUUGGUGGGGUAAAGGCCUACCAAGGCGACGAUCCAUAGCUGGUCUGAGAGGAUGAUCAGCCACAUUGGGACUGAGACACGGCCCAAACUCCUACGGGAGGCAGCAGUGGGGAAUAUUGGACAAUGGGCGCAAGCCUGAUCCAGCCAUGCCGCGUGAGUGAUGAAGGUCUUAGGAUUGUAAAGCUCUUUCACCGGAGAAGAUAAUGACGGUAUCCGGAGAAGAAGCCCCGGCUAACUUCGUGCCAGCAGCCGCGGUAAUACGAAGGGGGCUAGCGUUGUUCGGAAUUACUGGGCGUAAAGCGCACGUAGGCGGGUAUUUAAGUCAGGGGUGAAAUCCCAGAGCUCAACUCUGGAACUGCCUUUGAUAUUGGGUAUCUUGAGUAUGGAAGAGGUAAGUGGAAUUGCGAGU
rnacentral:rRNA from 1 species